CCUACGGGUGGCAGCAGUGGGGAAUAUUGGACAAUGGGGGGAACCCUGAUCCAGCCAUGCCGCGUGUGUGAAGAAGGCCCUCGGGUUGUAAAGCACUUUCAGUGAGGAAGAACGCCUGGUGGUUAAUACCCAUCAGGAAAGACAUCACUCACAGAAGAAGCACCGGCUAACUCCGUGCCAGCAGCCGCGGUAAUACGGAGGGUGCGAGCGUUAAUCGGAAUUACUGGGCGUAAAGCGCGCGUAGGUGGCUUGAUAAGCCGGUUGUGAAAGCCCCGGGCUCAACCUGGGAACGGCAUCCGGAACUGUCAAGCUAGAGUGCAGGAGAGGAAGGUAGAAUUCCCGGUGUAGCGGUGAAAUGCGUAGAGAUCGGGAGGAAUACCAGUGGCGAAGGUGGCCUUCUGGACUGACACUGACACUGAGGUGCGAAAGCGUGGGUAGCAAACAGGAUUAGAUACCCUAGUAGUC
rnacentral:rRNA from 1 species